GUGUCAGCCGCCGCGGUAAUACGGAGGAUCCAAGCGUUAUCCGGAUUUAUUGGGUUUAAAGGGUGCGUAGGCGGCCUGUUAAGUCAGUGGUGAAAGUCGGCAGCUCAACUGUCGAAUUGCCUUUGAUACUGGCAGGCUUGAAUGAAGUUGAAGAGGGCGGAAUGUGACAUGUAGCGGUGAAAUGCAUAGAUAUGUCACAGAACACCGAUUGCGAAGGCAGCUUACUAUGGUGUUAUUGACGCUGAGGCACGAAAGCGUGGGGAUCAAACAGGAUUAGAUACCCUGGUAGUCCACGCCCUAAACGAUGAAUACUCGCUGUUAGCGAUAUACAGUUAGCGGCUAAGCGAAAGCAUUAAGUAUUCCACCUGGGGAGUACGCUCGCAAGGGUGAA
rnacentral:rRNA from 1 species